CCUACGGGCGGCAGCAGUCGAGAAUCAUUCACAAUGGGGGAAACCCUGAUGGUGCGACGCCGCGUGGGGGAAUGAAGGUCUUCGGAUUGUAAACCCCUGUCAUGUGGGAGCAAAUUAAAAAGAUAGUACCACAAGAGGAAGAGACGGCUAACUCUGUGCCAGCAGCCGCGGUAAUACAGAGGUCUCAAGCGUUGUUCGGAAUCACUGGGCGUAAAGCGUGCGUAGGCUGUUUCGUAAGUCGUGUGUGAAAGGCGCGGGCUCAACCCGCGGACGGCACAUGAUACUGCGAGACUAGAGUAAGGGAGGGGGAAGCGGAAUUCUCGGUGUAGCAGUGAAAUGCGUAGAUAUCGAGAGGAACACUCGUGGCGAAGGCGGGUUCCUGGACAUUAACUGACGCUGAGGCACGAAGGCCAGGGGAGCGAAAGGGAUUAGAUACCCCGGUAGUC
rnacentral:rRNA from 1 species